rnacentral:rRNA from 2 species
UUCGGGGUGGAUUAGUGGCGAACGGGUGAGUAACACGUGGGCAAUCUGCCCUUCACUCUGGGACAAGCCCUGGAAACGGGGUCUAAUACCGGAUAACACUCUGUCCCGCAUGGGACGGGGUUAAAAGCUCCGGCGGUGAAGGAUGAGCCCGCGGCCUAUCAGCUUGUUGGUGGGGUAAUGGCCUACCAAGGCGACGACGGGUAGCCGGCCUGAGAGGGCGACCGGCCACACUGGGACUGAGACACGGCCCAGACUCCUACGGGAGGCAGCAGUGGGGAAUAUUGCACAAUGGGCGAAAGCCUGAUGCAGCGACGCCGCGUGAGGGAUGACGGCCUUCGGGUUGUAAACCUCUUUCAGCAGGGAAGAAGCGAAAGUGACGGUACCUGCAGAAGAAGCGCCGGCUAACUACGUGCCAGCAGCCGCGGUAAUACGUAGGGCGCAAGCGUUGUCCGGAAUUAUUGGGCGUAAAGAGCUCGUAGGCGGCUUGUCACGUCGGAUGUGAAAGCCCGGGGCUUAUUCCCGGGUCUGCAUUCGAUACGGGCUAGCUAGAGUGUGGUAGGGGAGAUCGGAAUUCCUGGUGUAGCGGUGAAAUGCGCAGAUAUCAAGAGGAACACCGGUGGCGAAGGCGGAUCUCUGGGCCAUUACUGACGCUGAGGAGCGAAAGCGUGGGGAGCGAACAGGAUUAGAUACCCUGGUAGUCCACGCCGUAAACGUUGGGAACUAGGUGUUGGCGACAUUCCACGUCGUCGGUGCCGCAGCUAACGCAUUAAGUUCCCCGCC